GGUCGGGUAGCUCAGUUGGUAGAGCACUUGCCCGCGGAAGGCAAAGGUCCCGAGUUCGAGUCUCGGUCCGGCACA
rnacentral:tRNA from 1 species